CUACGGGAUGCACCAGUGAGGAAUAUUGCACAAUGGAGGAAACUCUGAUGCAGCAACGCCGCGUGGAGGAUGACGCAUUUCGGUGUGUAAACUCCUUUUAUAUGUCAAGAAAAUGACGGUAGCAUAUGAAUAAGCACCGGCUAACUCCGUGCCAGCAGCCGCGGUAAUACGGAGGGUGCAAGCGUUACUCGGAAUCACUGGGCGUAAAGGACGCGUAGGCGGGUUAGAAAGUCAGGUGUGAAAUCCUACAGCUUAACUGUAGAGCUGCACUUGAAACUUCUAAUCUAGAGUAUGGGAGGGGGAGAUGGAAUUAGUGGUGUAGGGGUAAAAUCCGUAGGUAUCACUAGGAAUACCUAAAGCGAAGGCGAUCUCCUGGAACAUUACUGACGCUAAGGCGUGAAAGCGUGGGGAGCAAACAGGAUUAGAUACCCCGGUAGUC
rnacentral:rRNA from 1 species